CGGGCUGUAGCGUAGUCUGGUAGCGCGCUACACUGGGGGUGUAGAGGUCGCUGGUUCAAAUCCAGUCAGCCCGA
rnacentral:tRNA from 1 species